rnacentral:rRNA from 1 species
AGUAAAUAGAUACCCGGGUAGUCCUAGCCGUAAACGAUACUCGCUAGGUGUCGGCCACGGUGCGACCGUUGUCGGUGCCGUAGGGAAAGCCGUGAAGCGAGCCACCUGGGAAGUACGGCCGCAAGGCUGAAACUUAAAGGAAUUGGCGGGGGAGCACCACAACGGGUGGAGCUUGCGGUUUAAUUGGAUUCAACGCCGGAAAUCUUACCGGGACCGACAGCGAUAUGAAGGCCAGGCUGAAGACUUUGCCGGAUUAGCUGAGAGGUGGUGCAUGGCCGUCGUCAGUUCGUACUGUGAAAGCAUCCUGUUAAGCCAGGCAACGAGCGAGACCCACGCCCACAGUUGCCAGCGUACUCUCCGGAGUGACGGGUACACUGUGGGGACCGCCGCUGCUAAAGCGGAGGAAGGAAUGGGCAACGGUAGGUCAGUAUGCCCCGAAUAUCCCGGGCUACACGCGAGCUACAAUGGUUGGUACAAUGGGUAUCUA